UUCAUAAGCGGAGGAAAAGAAACUAACAAGGAUUCCCCUAGUAGCGGCGAGCAAAGCGGGAAGAGCUCAAAUUUGUAAUCUGGCACCUUCGGUGUCCGAGUUGUAAUCUCGAGAAGUGUUUUCCGCGCUGGACUGCAUAUAAGUCUGUUGGAAUACAGCGUCAUAGUGGUGAGAACCCCGUACAUGAUGCAGAUGCCCAGUGCUUUGUGAUACACUUUCGAAGAGUCGAGUUGUUUGGGAAUGCAGCUCAAAUUGGGUGGUAAAUUCCAUCUAAAGCUAAAUAUUGGCGAGAGACCGAUAGCGAACAAGUACCGUGAGGGAAAGAUGAAAAGCACUUUGGAAAGAGAGUUAACAGUACGUGAAAUUGUUGGAAGGGAAACGCUUGAAGUCAGACUUGCGUAUUGGAGUUCAGCCGAAAGGUGUAUUCUUCAGUUUGCAGGCCAGCAUCAGUUUUCGGGGGUACAAAAGGGUGAGAAGAAGGUAGCAACUCCGGUUGUGUUAUAGCUUUUUACUGGAUGUAUCCCUGGGGACUGAGGAACGCAGCGCGCUUUUUGCAAAUCCUUCGGGUUUUUCCGCGCUUAGGAUGCUGGUGGAAUGGCUUUAAAAAACCGGGAACCCCCCGGGUCGUUUUGAAAACACGG
rnacentral:rRNA from 1 species